rfam:Brachypodium distachyon strain Bd21 chromosome 1, whole genome shotgun sequence.
AUAAUACUCCCUCCGUCCCAUAUUAAGUGACUCAAAUUUGUCUAAAAAUGGAUGUAUCUAUAUGCUAAAAUACGUCUAGAUACAUGGAAUACUUCAGCACUUAAUAUGGGACGGAGGGAGUAGUAC